UCUGGNUCAGCUGGGGGCGUGCGGUGGGUACGGGCUGGCUUGAGUGCGGUAGGGGAGGCUGGAACUCCUGGUGUAGCGGUGGAAUGCGCAGAUAUCAGGAGGAACACCGGUGGCGAAGGCGGGUCUCUGGGCCGUUACUGACGCUGAGGAGCGAAAGCGUGGGGAGCGAACAGGAUUAGAUACCCUGGUAGUCCACGCUGUAAACGUUGGGCACUAGGUGUGGGGGGUCUUUCCGGGUCCUCCGCGCCGUAGCUAACGCAUUAAGUGCCCCGCCUGGGGAGUACGGCCGCAAGGCUAAAACUCAAAGGAAUUGACGGGGGCCCGCACAAGCGGCGGAGCAUGCGGAUUAAUUCGAUGCAACGCGAAGAACCUUACCAAGGCUUGACAUGUGCCGGUUGUCCUUCGGAGACGGGGGGUCCUCCCUAUUUGUGGGGGUCGGUUCACAGGUGGUGCAUGGUUGUCGUCAGCUCGUGUCGUGAGAUGUUGGGUUAAGUCCCGCAACGAGCGCAGCCCUUGUCCCGUGUUGCCAGCACGUCGUGGUGGGGACUCGCGGGAGACUGCCGGGGUUAACUCGGAGGAGGGUGGGGAUGACGUCAAAUCAUCAUGCCCCUUAUGUCUUGGGCUUCACGCAUGCUACAAUGGCCGGUACAGUGGGUUGCGAUGUCGUGAGGCGGAGCGAAUCCCUUAAAGCCGGUCUCAGUUCGGAUCGGUGUCUGCAACUCGACACCGUGAAGCUGGAGUCGCUAGUAAUCGCAGAUCAGCAGCGCUGCGGUGAAUACGUUCUCGGGCCUUGUACACACCGCCCGUCACGUCAUGAAAGCUGGCAACACCCGAAGCCCGUGGCCCUA
rnacentral:rRNA from 1 species